UACGAGGGGGGCGAGCGUUGUUCGGAAUUAUUGGGCGUAAAGGGCGCGUAGGCGGUCGGAUAAGUCUUGUGUGAAAUCUUCGGGCUCAACUCGUAGUCUGCACAGGAAACUAUCUGGCUUGAGUGUGGGAGAGGUGAGUGGAAUUCCUGGUGUAGCGGUGAAAUGCGUAGAUAUCAUUUGGAACGCCAAUGGUGAAAACAGGUAGCUGGGGAAGUGCUGACGCUGAGACACGAAAGCCAGGGGAGCGAACGGG
rnacentral:rRNA from 1 species